rnacentral:rRNA from 1 species
GAUGAACGCUGGCGGCGUGCCUAAUACAUGCAAGUCGAGCGAACGGACGCGAAGCUUGCUUCUCUGAUGUUAGCGGCGGACGGGUGAGUAACACGUGGAUAACCUACCUAUAAGACUGGGAUCACUUCGGGAAACCGGAGCUAAUCCCGGAUAAUAUUUUGAACCGUAUGGUUCAAAAGUGAAAGACGGUCUUGCUGUCACUUAUCGAUGGAUCCGCGCUGCAUUAGCUAGUUGGUAAGGUAACGGCUUACCAAGGCAACGAUGCAUAGCCGACCUGAGAGGGUGAUCGGCCACACUAGAACUGAGACGCGGUCCAGACUCCUACGGGAGGCAGCAGUAGGGAAUCGUCCGCAAUGGGCGAAAGCCUGACGGAGCAACGCCGCGUGAGUGAUGAAGGUCUUCGGAUCGUAAAACUCUGUUAUUAGGGAAGAACAUAUGUGUAAGUAACUGUGCACAUCUUGACGGUACCUAAUCAGAAAGCCACGGCUAACUACGUG